rnacentral:rRNA from 1 species
GACGGGUGAGUAACGCGUGGGUAACCUGCCUCAUACAGGGGGAUAACAGUUGGAAACGACUGCUAAUACCGCAUAAGCGCACAGGGUCGCAUGGCCUGGUGUGAAAAACUCCGGUGGUAUGAGAUGGACCCGCGUCUGAUUAGCCAGUUGGUGGGGUAACGGCCUACCAAAGCGACGAUCAGUAGCCGACCUGAGAGGGUGACCGGCCACAUUGGGACUGAGACACGGCCCAA